rnacentral:rRNA from 1 species
GACGAACGCUGGCGGCGUGCUUAACACAUGCAAGUCGAACGGAAAGGCCCUGCUUUUGUGGGGUGCUCGAGUGGCGAGCGGGUGAGUAACACGUGAGUAACCUGCCCUUGACUUUGGGAUAACUUCAGGAAACUGGGGCUAAUACCGGAUAGGAGCUCCUGCUGCAUGGUGGGGGUUGGAAAGUUUCGGCGGUUGGGGAUGGACUCGCGGCUUAUCAGCUUGUUGGUGGGGUAGUGGCUUACCAAGGCUUUGACGGGUAGCCGGCCUGAGAGGGUGACCGGCCACAUUGGGACUGAGAUACGGCCCAGACUCCUACGGGAGGCAGCAGUGGGGAAUAUUGCACAAUGGGCGGAAGCCUGAUGCAGCAACGCCGCGUGCGGGAUGACGGCCUUCGGGUUGUAAACCGCUUUCGCCUGUGACGAAGCGCGAGUGACGGUAAUGGGUAAAGAAGCACCGGCUAACUACGUG